rnacentral:rRNA from 1 species
GACGAACGCUGGCGGCGUGCCUAACACAUGCAAGUCGAGCGGGGUUGAAGCGAGAGGUAACUCGAACUUCUACCUAGCGGCGGACGGGUGAGUAACGCGUGGGCAACCUGCCUCAAGGUCUGGGAUAACAGCCCGAAAGGGCUGCUAAUACCGGGUAUGCUUGUGGCCUCGCAUGGGGCUAUGAGCAAAGGGGAAACCCGCCUUGAGAUGGGCCCGCGUCCCAUCAGCUAGUUGGUGAGGUAACAGCUCACCAAGGCGACGACGGGUAGCCGGCCUGAGAGGGUGACCGGCCACACUGGGACUGAGACACGGCCCAGACUCCUACGGGGGCAGCAGUGGGGGAUCUUGCACAAUGGGCGAAAGCCUGAUGCAGCGACGCCGCGUGAGCGAAGAAGGCCUUCGGGUUGUAAAGCUCUGUCUGGAGGGACGAAGGAAGUGACGGUACCUCCGGAGGAAGCCACGGCGUAACUACGUG